UACGUAGGGGGCUAGCGUUGUCCGGAAUCAUUGGGCGUAAAGAGCGUGUAGGCGGUCCGGUAAGUCCGCUGUGAAAGUCGGGGGCUCAACCCUCGAAUGCCGGUGGAUACUGUCGGGCUAGAGUACGGAAGAGGCGAGUGGAAUUCCUGGUGUAGCGGUGAAAUGCGCAGAUAUCAGGAGGAACACCUAUUGCGAAAGCAGCUCUCUGGGACGGUACUGACGCUGAGACGCGAAAGCGUGGGGAGCGAACAGG
rnacentral:rRNA from 1 species